CCUACGGGAGGCAGCAGUGGGGAAUAUUGGACAAUGGGCGAAAGCCUGACCCAGCAAUGCCGCGUGAGUGAUGAAGGCCUUCGGGUCGUAAAGCUCUUUUACCAGGGAUGAUAAUGACAGUACCUGGAGAAUAAGCUCCGGCUAACUCCGUGCCAGCAGCCGCGGUAAUACGGAGGGAGCUAGCGUUGUUCGGAAUUACUGGGCGUAAAGAGUACGUAGGCGGUUAUUCAAGUCAGAGGUGAAAGCCCGGGGCUCAACCCCGGAACUGCCUUUGAAACUAGAUAACUAGAGUCUUGGAGAGGUUAGUGGAAUUCCGAGUGUAGAGGUGAAAUUCGUAGAUAUUCGGAAGAACACCAGUGGCGAAGGCGACUAACUGGACAAGUACUGACGCUGAGGUACGAAAGCGUGGGGAGCAAACAGGAUUAGAUACCCUGGUAGUCCACGCCGUAAACGAUGAUAACUAGUUGUUCGGUCACUUGGUGACUGAGUGACGCAGCUAACGCAUUAAGUUAUCCGCCUGGGGAUACGGUCGCAAGAUUAAACUACAAAGAAGUAGUAGACGCGNGAAGUAGUCGACGACGACGACGACGAGGAGGAG
rnacentral:rRNA from 1 species